rnacentral:rRNA from 1 species
ACGGGAGGCAGCAGUGGGGAAUAUUGGACAAUGGGGGAAACCCUGAUCCAGCGACGCCGCGUGAGUGAAGAAGUAUUUCGGUAUGUAAAGCUCUAUCAGCAGGGAAGAUAAUGACGGUACCUGACUAAGAAGCCCCGGCUAACUACGUGCCAGCAGCCGCGGUAAUACGUAGGUGGCAAGCGUUAUCCGGAAUUACUGGGUGUAAAGGGAGCGUAGGCGGGCAGACAAGUCAGAUGUGAAAUACCGAGGCUUAACUUCGGGGCUGCAUUUGAAACUGUAUGUCUUGAGUGGUGUAGAGGUAAGCGGAAUUCCUAGUGUAGCGGUGAAAUGCGUAGAUAUUAGGAGGAACACCAGUGGCGAAGGCGGCUUACUGGGCACUUACUGACGCUGAGGCUCGAAAGUGUGGGGAGCAAACAGGAUUAGAUACCCUGGUA